AGUGGACUACAGAAAUCCUGGUCAUGGAUAUAUUCAACCUUGAAUGGAGACCUGUGCAAUGGGGAGCAUUUCAUCAACUUGAAAAUCAGAUUCAUGCCCACAGCCAAACAUAGACUACUUUCCUCCUAAAAAUGUUAUUCAGGUACCAACCCUCCUCCAUGCACAGACUUCUUUGUGGAGUUUAUCCUCCAAGAUCAUGGCUGCAGCUGCUUUGCUAAAUUGGUCUCAAGUUAACAAACCCAGCUUCAUUCACAGCGCUACGCUAAUAAUAAAUGCGGAUGCUUCGGAUGCAAGCUGGGACCCCUCAGUUUGAACAGAUCGUAAUUGUUGUGUGUUUUUCAUUAUUGAUCAGUUGCAUUUGUUAUGCUUUGAAGAGUCACUGUUAACUUUUCCAUGCCUGACGUCUCGUUUAAUGUAGCAAAAUGUGGGCUCUAAAUGAGCACUUCCGAUUGUGGCAUCUGUUGUGUUACCCUCUCAGCCAUGCUGUAUGUCCCUCCUGCUGGGAGAACCUGAGCUGACACAGUUGCUGCUGGCAGUGUCACUGUCUGCUUUUCAUCUAGAAAAAUGAGUUCUGUGUCUUAAACACCCUAAAGGAGGCUGAAUUGGAUGGUUUGUGUCAGUCUGCAUUUUACCCAAGCAGCAAAGGUUACUCCUCCUCUAUUCCCUUCAUACUAGUGAGUGUAUUACUUGUAGCAGCAUUUUAGAAAGGCUCUCAUGGGAAAUGGGGGUGAAUGAGAUCAAUGCAAAACAUCAAAACCCUGGGAUCCAGUAUUCCAGAAACACUGAUUUUACUAGGAAAACUGUAUAAACUGACUUACCUGCCAUUUUCAGCAGCACAGACUCUU